rnacentral:rRNA from 1 species
UGGUUAUAAUAGCAGAGAGGAUACACCUGUUCCCAUUCCGAACACAGAAGUUAAGCUCUCUAGCGCUGAUGGUACUUGG